rnacentral:tRNA from 1 species
UGGGUUGUGGCUCAGCAGUAGAGUGCUUGCCUAGCAUGUGUGAGGCCCUGAGUUCAAUCCUCAGCACCACAU